AGAUUGAACGCUGGCGGCAUGCCUUACACAUGCAAGUCGAACGGCAGCACGGGAGCAAUCCUGGUGGCGAGUGGCGAACGGGUGAGUAAUAUAUCGGAACGUGCCCAGUCGUGGGGGAUAACGCAGCGAAAGCUGUGCUAAUACCGCAUACGAUCUAUGGAUGAAAGCGGGGGACCGCAAGACCUCGCGCGAUUGGAGCGGCCGAUAUCAGAUUAGCUAGUUGGUGAGGUAAAGGCUCACCAAGGCGACGAUCUGUAGCUGGUUUGAGAGGACGACCAGCCACACUGGGACUGAGACACGGCCCAGACUCCUACGGGAGGCAGCAGUGGGGAAUUUUGGACAAUGGGGGAAACCCUGAUCCAG
rnacentral:rRNA from 1 species